rnacentral:rRNA from 1 species
AUUAAACGCUGGCGGCAUGCCUUACACAUGCAGGUCGAACGGCAGCACGGGGGCAACCCUGGUGGCGAGUGGCGGACGGGUGAGUAAAGCAUCGGAACGUAUCCUGGAGUGGGGGAUAACGUAGCGAAAGUUACGCUAAUACCGCAUAUUCUGUGAGCAGGAAAGCAGGGGAUCGCAAGACCUUGCGCUCUGGGAGCGGCCGAUGUCGGAUUAGCUAGUUGGUGGGGUAAAGGCCUACCAAGGCGACGAUCCGUAGCGGGUCUGAGAGGAUGAUCCGCCACACUGGGACUGAGACACGGCCCAGACUCCUACGGGAGGCAGCAGUGGGGAAUUUUGGACAAUGGGCGCAAGCCUGAUCCAGCCAUGCCGCGUGAGUGAAGAAGGCC